rnacentral:rRNA from 1 species
AACGAACGCUGGCGGCAGGCCUAACACAUGCAAGUCGAGCGCCCCGCAAGGGGAGCGGCAGACGGGUGAGUAACGCGUGGGUAUCUACCUAGUGGUACGGAAUAGCCCAGGGAAACUUGGAGUAAUACCGUAUAAGCCCGAAAGGGGAAAGAUUUAUCGCCAUUAGAUGAGCCCGCGUUGGAUUAGCUAGUUGGUGGGGUAACGGCCCACCAAGGCGACGAUCCAUAGCUGGUUUGAGAGAAUGACCAGCCACACUGGGACUGAGACACGGACCAGACUCCUACGGGAGGCAGCAGUGGGGAAUCUUGGACAAUGGGCGAAAGCCUGAUCCAGCCAUGCCGCGUGAGUGACGAAGGUCUUCGGAUUGUAAAGCUCUUUUGGCGGGGACGAUAAUGACGGUACCCGCAGAAUAAGCCCCGGCUAACUUCGUGCCAGCCGCCGCCGUAA